rnacentral:rRNA from 1 species
CCAGACUCCUACGGGAGGCAGCAGUGGGGGAUAUUGCACAAUGGGGGAAACCCUGAUGCAGCGACACCGCGUGGGUGAGGAAGCGCUUCGGCGUGUAAAGCCCUAUCAGUGGGGAAGAAAAAGGACGGUACCCAAAGAAGAAGCCCCGGCUAACUACGUGCCAGCAGCCGCGGUAAUACGUAGGGGGCAAGCGUUAUCCGGAUUUACUGGGUGUAAAGGGAGCGUAGACAGCAGCGCAAGUCUGGAGUGAAAUGCCGGGGCUCAACCCCGGAACUGCUUUGGAGACUGUGCAGCUAGAGUGCGGGAGAGGUAAGCGGAAUUCCUAGUGUAGCGGUGAAAUGCGUAGAUAUUAGGAGGAACACCAGUGGCGAAGGCGGCUUGCUGGACCGUAACUGACGUUGAGGCACGAAAGCGUGGGGAGCAAACAGGAUUAGAUACCCUCGUAC